rnacentral:lncRNA from 1 species
UGUCCUGUGCCGGUCAGGCCGAGCGCAGAGAACCCACGGGGCAGCCUCUCCCUUGGUGCUCCCUGCCGGGUCCGCCUUUCGCGCCUUUGCUUUUUGUUUGUUUUUGGAAGGACUCUCCGAGCCCCUGUGGCACUGUGGAGGACGCAGGCCCAGGAGCGCGACCCGUCCUCCUAGCGCGCACUCGCAGGAAAUAGGUCAGCCCCCGUUGUCGGUGGUAACUGCCACCACCUCACGUGCCCGAGCCCUGUGACUCGGUGACCGCUCUGCUCUGUGACCCGUUUCCCCUUGUAAGGGCUCUGCUGCUCGUCAGCCCGCGGCGGGCGGCUUCGGUGGGGCGAGCCACGCGGCCUCCAGAGGGCGCGGCGCGGCUUCUGGGAAACGUCUUAGGGCCGGAGCUUUCCCGUGGCCAUCCAGGGCUACACACCCCGCGUGUAGGCGUCCCCGUUACUACCGCCAGGCCCGGGCGUGAGGCUGAGGGACGGUGAUGUCACCGACGCCCACCCCGUCUGGAGGCCUCCUGCCAACUCCCACCUCAAAGCCACCGUGAAGGAGCCUUGGCCCUGGCUGGCGGAGGGGCGGAGGAGGUAGGCGCUUUUCGGUCAGCCCAGAGCGUGAGACCCAAAGGGGCCAGAUUAAGGUGGAGAGAAGGUCCACAAGAAGUCACCCAGUACUGACUCCUUCCUGUUCAAAAUAGCUUCCAGGAGAGUGGAAUUAGCAUCAAAAUACAAUCAGCCCCAGGGCUACCUGCAACAGAAGUCCAUUUUUAAAACAUACAGUCCCUUUGCUUGCCCAUGUUUUGUGGGUCAGUUUUGAGAAUUCAUACAUUCUGGAUAAAGAAUUACAGGGAUGGAAAUGGAGAGGAGCCUGAAGAAAAGAAGGUCCAGGGACAGGCCCAAAGUGGGAUCCAGCUCAAAGGGAGGUCCCAAGGCCUGACACUAAUACUGAGGCUAUGGAGUGCUCACAAAAAGGGAUCUUGCCUUCCAAAAGACACAACAAACAACUAAAAGAGUCAGAUGCAGAUAUUUGCAUCCAUCCAAUGGACAGAAGCAGCUGACCCCUGUUGUUGAAUUAGGGAAGGCUGAACGAAGCUCACUAAGUUCCGACUGCCGGGUCGCUAUCACGCCAGCCCCACACUUCCAAAUUUCCACGGCUUUUGGGGUGUACGUCUUGCAAACCCACGCUUUGCCUCUACCUUUCUCCUUGGAACCCAGUUGAGUUGACACAUGAAAGAAAACACCAUACAAACUUAAUUCAGAACCAGCAGGUAACUCGGUUGUUGGGCACAGCAACUAGCAUCCCAAUUUGUAUGCUAUACUAAACUCCUCUGGUGGGGAAUCCUGGGGAUCCGCCAUCUAAACUGAGGGCCUCUUGUUAGCUAUGUUAGCUACAUACUGUCCUCCAAGUGCUCCUCGUCCAAAAGCCCCUCCUCUUCCCCUCUCUGACCUGGAAGUCCUGCCUACUCCUCGCCCAGUGAUUGGUUCCUAGAUACCUUGAUUUAUUAGGGGAAGGUUCACAGGAAGUCAUCUGAGUAUGUAAUUCACUCCUCCUCCCGGGAAGCCCCUCUUGGGGAAGCAGAAUUAGCAUCAAAAUACAAACAGCCCCGGAGCUAUGCACAACACUUCCCCCUUUCUGUCCAAUUAAAAGGCUCCUUUAUCUCAGAUAUAAAUUGAGCAUAACUUUACCAUUCUGUAAUUUAUAAAGUACAAAAUACGCCUAGUCCAUCAUUUUUGUCAAUUGAAUAGAACAUUCUGUUAUCUAUCCUAACAUAAAAAAGGCUUAUAAAUUCAUCUUAUAUCCUGGUUUAGCUUGUAUACUAUCUGAAAACUAUCUUCUCAACUAUAUUUUCUCAAUGUUAAAUAACAUAUGUUGGCUAAGAGACUAUAACUAGUCUUUCAACCCUGUCAGAAAUCCAAGAACAACCAAUAUUGUCUGAAAAUAUAGGAAGCCUAACACAGCUUCCAGAACUGAGACAAAUUAUAGAGACAGCUGCCUACCUAUACAGCUCCAGUAUGUCAGGAAGUUGGAGCAUCAGCCUUCAGUCUUCUCGGGAUAUUCUGAGAGACCCUGAAAACCAGAAAUUAUUAAGAACUAGCUUAUUCUGUCUCAGCAGAACUAAGCUGUCCUAACCUGUAACUCGUGUCCUCUCACAGAAGAUACAGGAGAGAUAGGCAAUUUCUACCCAAUGGCCACCUAACCACAAUGCACAGCCUCACCUGGAGGUAGAGAUGCUCAGCUGCUUUUUUGAAUCCACAAAUGGGGAGCUGUUACGAGAAGAUAUGUCUCAACAACAAGUGAAUAAAUGCCACAUACUGUGGAUUUCUGACUGUUGUCCAUUAACCACUUUCAGCUAUUUCUAAUUAAAUUAUCUUGAAAACGCCCGAAAUCUGCAACUAGAAGACACUGGAGCCUAGACAAAUAUAUCAUGAAGAACAGGCAAAGGCCUGAACACAGAGACAAGAGCUUAAUGACAGUGCAUGUUGCCCUCCAUCCGUUCCUAGCUGGCCCUCAACACACUAGGUGUUUAAGAUGACAUACUCUCUCAUUUACAUUGGCUUGCUCGAGGACAUUUAAGAUUUUGAGCUGCAAAACUUUGAGAAAGUUCUAAAAUGCUUUUUCUUCUUAUACUGAAAUGCACUGCCACACAGUCUUAUAUUUUCCUAAAGUAGAACCUGAUUCUAUUUCCUUUUGCACAAUACAUUUGAACCACACUGUAGAGUUUUAGUCACUAUAGAAAGUCAACAUGGCUGAGUUCCAGGUUUGUUUUGUAGAUUUUUUUCCUCCCUCGCUUUUUCAGUAGCACUUUCCCAACACAAAGGCAGUAUCUUAGGGUUUCAUUGCGAUGAAGAGACACAAUGGCCAAGGCAACUCUAGUAAAGGCAAACAUUUCAUUGGUGCUGGUUUACAGUUUCAGAGGUUUGGUCCAUUAUCAUGGCAGGAAGCAUGGCAGCAGACAUGGUAGUGGAGAAACCAAAAGUUCAACAUUUUGAUCUGAAGGCAGCCAGGAGGAGACUGUGUUCAGCAGGCAGCAGGGAAAAGACUCUAAUUCCACACUAUGUCAAGCUUGAGCUAAAUGACACACUUCCUCCAAUAAGGCCAGACCUUCUCCAAUAAGGCCACACUUCCUAAUAGUGUCCUCACUAUGGCCAAGCCUUGAAACACUUGAAUCUAUGAGGGCCAAACCUAUUCAAACCACUACAGGCAACAAGAAACAAAUUUAAAGACCUAAAAUCAUUGACUGUAUCUGAUAAAAAAUCACAUAGACUCCCACUGUCUUCGCACUGUCUUUCAGUGUCCAAGGAGCAGUUCCAUCUAUCUGUAACAAGGCUCCCUUGACAAAGGAUCAAAUUACAAUGUGGAUUUGUGUUUCCUAAAAGCUUCUUUAAUUUGGAGUUAGCUUAGCACAUGCCAUAUUGCAUGGCCAUUCUCUUCCAUGUAGAGGAUGGCUAAGUCGCCAACCCUACUCAACUGUUAUGCACACUUUGCCCCUAACCUGGGCAAGCUUUGUGCAAUUUAUACUCCAGGGAAACUGUGGUUGGGCAUUCUUCCUGUGGUAACUUACUCAGGAGUUUGUCAUUAUAACUUAAAUACUCUGGAUCUAAUAUCAUUAAAAAUAGAAGCAAAAAUCCUAGGAUCC